AUGCCGGACCUCGCCGGACCACUUCAUCCAUGGCGCCGCCCUCGCCUCGUCUCGAUCCGGUGGAUUCGAACGCCAAGUCCUCACCGAACCAGAAGGAGCGAGCUCCAUGGCCACCCGUCCCCUUGCAGCACCAGCCGCCGCUGGGAGUUUCACAUCGCGCCGCCCGGGUUCUGCAUCCUCUGCCGGACCUCCCCUACUUCGCCUUGGUCCGCCGCCACUGCCCAUCGCGUCGUCCUUCGUCAAGUCCUGCGCUGCCGCCGUUCGAGAGGAGGACGACGGAGCCGUGCCCCUGCGUUGACUUCUCAUCGAGACGCUCCAGCCGGCCCAUCGCUUCAGCCCGCCAGCGAAUCCACCAAAGCCCAGCCACCCGCUGCUAGUUUUGUUUUUCCUGCAGGCCUCCCUCUUCAUCUGGUCGGGCCAGGCCCAAAGUGA
rnacentral:rRNA from 1 species